ensembl:snoRNA small nucleolar RNA, H/ACA box 56
GAGCAGACAGUUAUCCCUUUUUAGCCUGCAGUGGUUUUAGAGGGAGUCAGUCUGCUAAAUCAAAGGGGGGAGGCCGUGCUGUGCCCAGCCCAGCUGGCCCUGGUGCAGGCUGCAGGUCUCCCCUACACCA